rnacentral:sRNA from 1 species
CCCGCUUCGCUCUCGGGGGCGGACUCAGCGGCGGAAGUGGCGCUGCCGGAAGAUCUUCUUCCGCUCUGAGGCGCUACUGAGGCCGCGGAGCCGGACUGCGGUUGGGGCGGGAAGAGCCGGGGCCGUGGCUGAGAUAGAGCAGCCAGAGCCUCUCCUCGCACCUCCUUCCGCCGCCUGAGAAGCGAAGGGCCAUCUCUGAUGUCCGCCGCACCUUCUGUCUCUUCGUCACCUUCGACCUGCUCUUCAUCUCCCUGCUCUGGAUCAUCGAACUGAAUACCAACACAGGCAUCCGUAAGAACUUGGAGCAGGAGAUCAUCCAGUACAACUUUAAAACUUCCUUCUUCGACAUCUUCGUCCUGGCCUUCUUCCGCUUCUCUGGACUGCUCCUAGGCUAUGCCAUGCUGCGGCUCCGGCACUGGUGGGUGAUUGCGGUCACGACGCUGGUGUCCAGUGCAUUCCUCAUUGUCAAGGUCAUCCUCUCUGAGCUGCUCAGCAAAGGGGCAUUUGGCUACCUGCUCCCCAUCGUCUCUUUUGUCCUCGCCUGGUUGGAGACCUGGUUCCUUGACUUCAAAGUCCUACCCCAGGAAGCUGAAGAGGAGCGAUGGUAUCUUGCCGCCCAGGUUGCUGUUGCCCGUGGACCCCUGCUGUUCUCCGGUGCUCUGUCCGAGGGACAGUUCUAUUCACCCCCAGAAUCCUUUGCAGGGUCUGACAAUGAAUCAGAUGAAGAAGUUGCUGGAAAGAAAAGUUUCUCUGCUCAGGAGCGGGAGUACAUCCGCCAGGGGAAGGAGGCCACAGCAGUGGUGGACCAGAUCUUGGCCCAGGAAGAGAACUGGAAGUUUGAGAAGAAUAAU